rnacentral:rRNA from 1 species
UACGAAGGGGGCUAGCGUUGCUCGGAAUGACUGGGCGUAAAGGGCGCGUAGGCGGUUUGGACAGUCAGGUGUGAAAUUCCUGGGCUCAACCUGGGGGCUGCAUUUGAUACGUUCGGACUAGAGUGGGGAAGAGGGUCGUGGAAUUCCCAGUGUAGAGGUGAAAUUCGUAGAUAUUGGGAAGAACACCGGUGGCGAAGGCGGCGACCUGGUCCUUGACUGACGCUGAGGCGCGAAAGCGUGGGGAGCGAACAGG